rnacentral:misc_RNA from 1 species
GAAGAAGAAGAAGAAGGAGAAGAGCUAUCCUGAGCCAAAAUUCUGUACGGAAACUGACCCUCGAUCACAGUCGCCAUUGAGUUUCAGUUGAAGAGGGUUCCCUCACAGAGGGAGACGUAACCAAAAAAGGUAAAAAGAUAGAACGCUAUCGUUGGUCGAUAAUGGAGCUUUUACUUGGCUAGACAGACAAGCGAAUAGAGACAUAUAGGACGGAAAGUGGGCAACGAUGAAAGGC